GCUAGCAGUUGUUCAAGACCAGACUAUAGAAAUAAGGUCUGCCAAGGAUGAAUUUGGGUCUGUCAUUGGGAAAUGUCAAGUCCCUAAAGAUCCGAAUCC